UGCGCCGCCGCUGCCAACCCGGAAGGAGCCCGGAGGGGCCCGGGCGGCCAGGGCGCCCCCGCCAGGAGGCCCGCCAGGUGUCCACCUGAGCCCCACGCCCUGCGCCGCGGGGCCCUUUUGGGGGCGGGGUGCCAGCUCCGAGGUGUCCUCCCACGGGCUGUAGACUGGGAAACUGAGGCCCGGGCCACGGUCCCAGACGCAGCCGGGACCCGAACCCACCUCACCUGAGCGAAUGAUAUCCGGGACUCAUCCUUUUUCGACACCUUUGCGGGAUCCAGCCCUCCAAGGAAAGCUUCCUGAGCAGUGCGCGCCACGUGUAUUGGGCACCUCACCGCGGCCACUUCACAUCCUAUCUCAGGUGGAGAAACUAAGCCACAGAAAGGAGCUGUCAUUUACCUAAAGCACCGUGGCAGGGGUUUGGCAGAGCCAGGAUUUGUACCCAGAUCGCCUGACUUCGGAGAGUAACAGCUCUUAACCACAGCACUUCGGUCUAUGCCUUGAUUUCACCAUAUGUAACAAGCUGUGCCACUUUGCAUUCCCACCAGCAGCACGCAAGCGUUCGAAUUUCUCCGCACGCUCCCCAACAGGACAAGAGCUUGCCGUGUUGCCCCAGGCUGGUCUCAAACUCCUAGCCUCAAGCAAACUUCCUGUCUCGGCCUUUCAAAACCCUGAGAUUACAAGCAUAAGAAAAGAAAAUCUUGUAAGAUGAAAGCUGAAGGAUGAGAGCAAUUAAUUGAUGAAGUAUGAUGAUCCAGGUGUCCCUGGGUGAAGAAACAACCUCUACAAAGGCCCUGAGGGUCUCGCUCAUCACCAGGCUGGAGUACAGUGACAUGAUCA
rnacentral:lncRNA from 1 species